rnacentral:rRNA from 1 species
UACGUAGGGAGCAAGCGUUGUCCGGAAUCAUUGGGCGUAAAGCGCGCGUAGGUGGCUUCGUAAGUCCGUUGUGAAAGUCAAAGGCUCAACCUUUGAAAGCCGAUGGAUACUGUGAAGCUAGAGUACGGAAGAGGCGAGUGGAAUUCCUGGUGUAGCGGUGGAAUGCGCAGAUAUCAGGAAGAACACCGACGGCGAAGGCAGCUCGCUGGGACGGUACUGACGCUGAGACGCGAAAGCGUGGGGAGCGAACAGG